rnacentral:rRNA from 1 species
AUUGAACGCUGGCGGCAUGCCUUACACAUGCAAGUCGAACGGCAGCACGGGAGCAAUCCUGGUGGCGAGUGGCGAACGGGUGAGUAAUAUAUCGGAACGUGCCCAGUCGUGGGGGAUAACGCAGCGAAAGUUGUGCUAAUACCGCAUACGAUCUAUGGAUGAAAGCGGGGGAUCGCAAGACCUCGCGCGAUUGGAGCGGCCGAUAUCAGAUUAGCUAGUUGGUGGGGUAAAAGCCCACCAAGGCGACGAUCUGUAGCUGGUCUGAGAGGACGACCAGCCACACUGGAACUGAGACACGGUCCAGACUCCUACGGGAGGCAGCAGUGGGGAAUUUUGGACAAUGGGCGCAAGCCUGAUCCAGCAAUGCCGCGUGCAGGAUGAAGGCCUUCGGGUUGUAAACUGCUUUUGUACGGAACGAAACGGCGAGCUCUAAUAAAGUUUGCUAAUGACGGUACCGUAAGAAUAAGCACCGGCUAACUACGUG